rnacentral:rRNA from 1 species
UGGGGAAUAUUGGACAAUGGGCGCAAGCCUGAUCCAGCAAUGCCGCGUGAGUGAUGAAGGCCUUCGGGUUGUAAAGCUCUUUCGCACGCGACGAUGAUGACGGUAGCGUGAGAAGAAGCCCCGGCUAACUUCGUGCCAGCAGCCGCGGUAAUACGAAGGGGGCUAGCGUUGUUCGGAAUUACUGGGCGUAAAGGGCGCGUAGGCGGUGGAUCAAGUCAGGCGUGAAAGCCCCGGGCUCAACCUGGGAACCGCGCUUGAGACUGGUGCGCUAGAGUUCGGGAGAGGAUGGUGGAAUUCCCAGUGUAGAGGUGAAAUUCGUAGAUAUUGGGAAGAACACCGAUGGCGAAGGCAGCCAUCUGGACCGACACUGACGCUGAGGCGCGAAAGCGUGGGGAGCAAACAGG